rnacentral:rRNA from 1 species
CCUACGGGAGGCAGCAGUGAGGAAUAUUGGUCAAUGGACGAGAGUCUGAACCAGCCAAGCAGCGUGAAGGAUGACUGCCCUAUGGGUUGUAAACUUCUUUUAUAAAGGAAUAAAACGAGGCACGUGUGCCUUUUUGCAUGUACUUUAUGAAUAAGGAUCGGCUAACUCCGUGCCAGCAGCCGCGGUAAUACGGAGGAUCCGAGCGUUAUCCGGAUUUAUUGGGUUUAAAGGGGGCGUAGACGGGUUGUUAAGUCAGUUGUUAAAGUUUGCGGCUCAACCGUAAAAUUGCAAUUGAUACUGGCAGUCUUGAGUACAGUUGAGGUAGGCGGAAUGCGUGGUGUAGCGGUGAAAUGCUUAGAUAUCACGAAGAACCCCGAUUGCGAAGGCAGCUUACUAACCUGUGACUGACAUUGAUGCUCGAAAGUGUGGGUAUCAAACAGGAUUAGAUACCCGAGUAGUC